AAAUAUGUUAGGAACAAAAUAUGACUUCUAAUUAUAUUUUGAACCGUUCGAUUCGGUUCAUAUUUU
rnacentral:tRNA from 1 species